AGUGAACGCUGGCGGUAGGCCUAACACAUGCAAGUCGAACGGCAGCACAGUAAUUGCUUGCGCUUACGGGGUGGGAGUGGCGGGCGGGUGAGGAAUACAUCGGAAUCUACUUUUUCGUGGGGGAUAACGUAAGUAAGCUUACGCUAAUACCGGAUACGCCCUUCGGUUGAGAGGAGUGGAUAUUCGCGGCUUUCGCGAUUGGAUUAGCCGCUGACGAAUUAGCUGGUGGGCGGGGUAAAGACCCACCGAGUCGAGGAUUCGUAGCUGGUCUGGGAGGAGGGUCAGCCGCACGGGAACUGAACCACGGUCCAGACUCCUACGGGAGGCCGCAGUGGGGAAUAUUGGACAAUGGGCGCAAGCCUGAUCCAGCGAUACCGCGUGGGUGAAGAAGGCCUUCGGGUUGUAAAGCCCUUUUGUUGGGAAAGAAAAGCAGCAGGUUAAUACCCCGCUGUUCUGACGGUAACCAAAGAAUAAGCACCGGCUAACUUCGUG
rnacentral:rRNA from 1 species